UCUUCAGAGUCUGGGGUGGUAGCGAAGAUCCUGGACGAGCCCCCAAAUGAAAGAUCCCUGGAGAGAGACCCUUAUUCAAGUCUUGGGAAAUCGUGGACCCCAGACACAGAGAGACCA
rnacentral:pre_miRNA from 14 species